rnacentral:rRNA from 1 species
GACGAACGCUGGCGGCGCGCCUAACACAUGCAAGUCGAGCGAGAACCAGAGCUUCGGUUCUGGGGAAAGCGGCGAACGGGUGAGUAACACGUGGGUAAUCUGCCCUCGGCGCCGGGAUAGCCCGGGGAAACCCGGAUUAAUACCGGAUGGCCUCUCGCGCUCUCGGGCGCGAAAGAAAAGGUGGCUUCGGCUUCUGGCCGAGGAUGAGCCCGCGGCCGAUUAGCUUGUUGGUGAGGUAAUGGCNCACCAAGGCUCCGAUCGGUAGCUGGUCUGAGAGGACGAUCAGCCACACUGGGACUGAGACACGGCCCANACUCCUACGGGAGGCAGCAGUGGGGAAUCUUGCGCAAUGGGCGAAAGCCUGACGCAGCGACGCCGCGUGC